UACAGAGGUUGCAAGCGUUAAUCGGAUUUACUGGGCGUAAAGCGUGUGCAGGUGGCUGUACAAGUCGGUUGUGAAAUCCCUGGGCUCAACCCGGGAACUGCUUCCGAGACUGUACGGCUAGAGAUCGGUAGAGGGCGGUGGAAUUUCCGGUGUAGCGGUGAAAUGCGUAGAUAUCGGAAGGAACACCAAUGGCGAAGGCAGCCGCCUGGGCCUGAUCUGACACUGAGACACGAAAGCGUGGGGAUCAAACAGG
rnacentral:rRNA from 1 species